UUAAGCUAUAAAGAGCACAGGGCGGAUGCCUAGGCACUGAGAGCCGACGAAGGACGUGACAAGCUGCGAUAAGCUGCGGGGAGAAGCAAAUAUUCUGUGAGCCGCAGAUUUCCGAAUGGGGGAACCCACGUGAGCAAACCUCACGUAUCCAUACGCCAAUCCAUAACGUAUGGAAGGGAACCCGGGGAACUGAAACAUCUAAGUACCCGGAGGAAGAGAAAGAAACAUCGAUUUCCUUAGUAGCGGCGAGCGAAAGGGAAAGAGCCCAAACCGCGGGAUUUAUCCUGCGGGGUUAGGACUGCGUAAUUGAUUCGGGAUUGAUAGGAGAACGGUCUGGGAAGUCCGGCGAAAAAGCGUGAAAGCCGCGUAUCCGAAAUUGAAACCGACAUGGCAGUAUCCAGAGUACCACGAGACACGAGAAACCUUGUGGGAACGAGCGGAGACCACUCCGUAAGGCUAAAUACUACUCAGUGACCGAUAGCGCAUAGUACUGUGAAGGAAAGGUGAAAAGGACCCCGGGAGGGGAGUGAAAGAGAACCUGAAACCCUGUGUUUACAAGCUGUCGAAGCACAUAAGUGCGACGGCGUACUUUUUGUAGAACGGUCCGGCGAGUUAUGAUGAGUGGUAAGGUUAAGGACUUAAGGUCCGGAGCCGAAGCGAAAGCGAGUGUUAAAAGCACGUAGAAUCGCUUAUCAUAGACCCGAAACCGGGUGAUCUAUCCAUGUCCAGGUUGAAGCUGCCGUAAGAGGUAGUGGAGGACCGAACACACAUCCGUUGAAAAGGGUGGUGAUGAGGUGUGGAUAGGGGAGAAAUUCCAAUCGAACCCGGAGAUAGCUGGUUCUCCUCGAAAUAGCUUUAGGGCUAGCCUCUGGUUAGUCUGCCGCAGGUAGAGCACUGAAUUUCCUAGGGGGCGUCAAAGCCUACCGAAGAAUAUCAAACUGCGAAUGGCGGACAGAUGAUGCCAGGGAGUCAGACUGCACGAGAUAAGUUGGGUGGUCAAAAGGGAAAGAGCCCAGACCUACAGCUAAGGUCCCAAAGUGUGUGUUAAGUGGAAAAGGAUGUGGGAUUUCGAAGACAACUAGGAUGUUGGCUCAGAAGCAGCCACACAUUAAAAGAGUGCGUAAUAGCUCACUAGUCGAGAGGUCCUGCGCCGAAAAUGUCCGGGGCUAAAACACAACACCGAAGCUUAGGAAUUCUAAUGAAUUGGUAGAGGAGCAUUGAAGACGGAACGAAGCCAUACCGAAAGGAAUGGUGGACUGUCUUGAAGAGAGAAUGCCGGAAUGAGUAGCGAGAUUGAAGUGAGAAUCUUCAAGGCCGAAUAUCUAAGGUUUCCAGGGUAAAGCUGAUCUGCCCUGGGUAAGUCGGGGCCUAAGGCAAGGUCGAAAGACGUAGUCGAUGGAUAACAGGUUGAAAUUCCUGUACUGCAUCAAAUCAGAAAUGUGGGGACACAUGAGGGAAGCAUGAGCCGGAAAAGGAAAGUCCGGUACAAGCGCAGCAGAGGACAGAUAGGCAAAUCCGUCUGUCAACUCAAGGGCGUGAUGUGGAGCGAACCAAAGUAGCGAAGCAUGUGGAGCUUGUGUCGAGAAAAGCCGCUAUAGUGUUUGAUGUACCCGUACCGUAAACCGACACAGGUGGAUGAGGAGAGAAUCCUAAGGCCGGCGGGAGAAGCAUUGUUAAGGAACUCGGCAAAAUGACCCCGUAACUUCGGGAGAAGGGGUGCUCCAGAGAUGGAGCCGCAGAGAACUGGCCCAAGCAACUGUUUAGCAAAAACACAGGUCUAUGCAAAACCGAAAGGUGAGGUAUAUGGGCUGACGCCUGCCCGGUGCUGGAAGGUUAAGAGGAGAGGUUAGAGCAAUCGAAGCUUUGAAUUUAAGCCCCAGUAAACGGCGGCCGUAACUAUAACGGUCCUAAGGUAGCGAAAUUCCUUGUCGGG
rnacentral:rRNA from 1 species